rnacentral:rRNA from 1 species
AAUUAACCCUCACUAAAGAGAGUUUGAUCCUGGCUCAGAACGAACGCUGGCGGCAUGCCUAACACAUGCAAGUCGAACGAGACCUUCGGGUCUAGUGGCGCACGGGUGCGUAACGCGUGGGAAUCUGCCCUUGGGUUCGGGAUAACAGUUGGAAACGACUGCUAAUACCGGAUGAUGACUUCGGUCCAAAGAUUUAUCGCCCAGGGAUGAGCCCGCGUAAGAUUAGCUUGUUGGUGAGGUAAAGGCUCACCAAGGCGACGRUCUUUAGCUGGUCUGAGAGGAUGAUCAGCCACACUGGGACUGAGACACGGCCCAGACUYCUACGGGAGGCAGCAGUGGGGAAUAUUGGACAAUGGGCGAAAGCUGAUCCAGCAAUGCCGCGUGAGUGAUGAAGGSCUUAGGGUUGUAAAGCUCUUUUACCCGGGAUGAUAAUGACAGUACCGGGAGAAUAAGSCCCGGCUAACUCCGUGCCAGCAGCCGCGGUAAUACGGAGGGGGCUAGCGUUGUUCGGAAUUACUGGGCGUAAAGCGUACGUAGGCGGCUUUKUAAGUUAGAGGUGAAAGCCCAGAGCUCAACUCUGGAAUUGCCUUUAAGACUGCAUCGCUUGAAUCGUGGAGAGGUUAGUGGAAUUCCGAGUGUAGAGGUGAAAUUCGUAGAUAUUCGGDAGAACACCAGUGGCGRAGGCGACUAACUKGACACGUAUUKWCGCUGAGGUACGAAAGCGUGGGGAGCAAACAGGAUUAGAUACCCUGGKAGUC